GCGUAGGGUAUGUAGGCUGUAGAAAUAAGGAGAAAAUUAAAUACUGGGUAGUCAUCCUUUACGUUUUCUUAUCAAUUUCACUAGAAUUUAGAUGGGACGCGGGUAUCUAUAUGGACAGGUAAAAUGGUAAGAUAUAACGAGGACCGACAGUGGUGAAGACACGUUUCCAUUAAGUAUUGACGUAAUAUACGAAGGCAUGGGGAUAAAGAGGAUUAGAGACCUCGUAGUCCAUGCUAUAACGCUGCGUAUUCAAUGUGGCAGCUUAAUAUUCCCGAUAUAUAAUAUUGAGGAGACUGUGGUGUUUGAGCUAACGCGUUAAAUACGCCGCUGGGAAGUACGGUCGCAAGGUGAAACUCAAAAGAAUUGACGGUGAUUGGACAGGG
rnacentral:rRNA from 1 species